GUAGCCAAAAAGCCGCCUUCGGUCCUUCGCUUUGCCGCACGGAGCCGUGCCCCGGGGCGGAAGGUAAGGGCGGCGGCGCCGGCUCCGCUCCCCCGGGGGUCGAGUUUCAGGGGCUGCUCUGUGCUCUGCAAUUAGAUUGACACAUGUACAACAUCCCCAGCCAUUCAAGGGGGUUCGCAGGGACACUCCAAAGGGAUUUUUUUUCUUUCUUUCUUUCUUUUUGGGUGGAAGAUAUUAAAGAGGUAUCUGUUGUUUGGCAA